rnacentral:rRNA from 1 species
AUUGAACGCUGGCGGCAUGCCUAACACAUGCAAGUCGAACGAGUGGCGGACGGGUGAGUAAUGUCUGGGAACCUGCCUAGUGGCGGGGGAUAACUACUCGAAACGGUAGCUAAUACCGCAUACUAUCGGAUGUGCCCAUAUGGGAUUAGCUAGUUGGUGGGGUAAAGGCUCACCAAGGCGACGAUCCGUAGCUGGUGUGAGAGGACGACCAGCCACACUGGAACUGAGACACGGCCCAGACUCCUACGGGAGGCAGCAGUGGGGAAUAUUGGACAAUGGGGGAAAGCCUGAUGCAGCCAUGCCGCGUGUAUGAAGAAGGCCUUCGGGUUGUAAAGUACUUUUAGCGGGGAGGCGUUACCCGCAGAAGAAGCACCGGCUAACUACGUGCCAGCAGCCGCGGUAAUUC